UAGAGGAAGUAAAAGUCGUAACAAGGUCUCCGUUGGUGAACCAGCGGAGGGAUCAUUACCGAGUUUUCAACUCCCAAACCCUUUUGUGAACAUACCUAUCGUUGCUUCGGCGGACUCGCCCCAGCGUCCGGCCGGCCCCGCGCCGGCCGCGGCCUGGAUCCAGGCGGCCGCCGGAGACCCCCAAACUCUGUAUUCUCAGUAUCUUCUGAAUCCGCCGCAAGGCAAAACAAAUGAAUCAAAACUUUCAACAACGGAUCUCUUGGUUCUGGCAUCGAUGAAGAACGCAGCGAAAUGCGAUAAGUAAUGUGAAUUGCAGAAUUCAGUGAAUCAUCGAAUCUUUGAACGCACAUUGCGCCCGCCAGCAUUCUGGCGGGCAUGCCUGUUCGAGCGUCAUUUCAACCCUCGACUUCCCUUUGGGGAAAUCGGCGUUGGGGACCGGCCGUAUACCGCCGGCCCCGAAAUGAAGUGGCGGCCCGUCCGCGGCGACCUCUGCGUAGUAAUCCAACUCGCACCGGAACCCCGACGUGGCCACGCCGUAAAACCCCCGACUUCUGAACGUUGACCUCGGAUCAGGUAGGAAUACCCGCUGAACUUAAGCAUA
rnacentral:rRNA from 1 species